CGCCAGUAUAAAUCCCGCCCUCUUUCGUCGUCACAUCCUCUUUCCGUUGCUCUUCUCGCUUUGAGAAACCUCUCCACACGAUGAGAGCCAAGUGGAGGAAGAAGCGUAUGCGCAGGCUGAAGCGUAAAAGGAGAAAGAUGAGGCAGAGGUCAAAGUAAGCCCUCAUCGCUGCCAGCUGUGAUCCCGUCGGAGCCUCUCUGGGUGACUGACACGUGUGGCUGAAGUGGAUCGUGUGGAGCCGCCAUCAGUGAAACUAAGGCCGAAAACCUGUUUUCAGAUGACUGCAUGUCUCAUGGAGCCAGCUGUGGAUGUCUGACCGGACGAUGGCAGAGACGCUGGACAGAUCUCUCAACAUCAGGAUGACAGCUGCUGUGUUCAUGGACCAUAAUACAUAUUGUUUACCAACAACUGUCAUGUGGUGUAUUGAACAAUAAAUGAACACUGUUAAACGUUUA